CCCCCCCUUCCUAACCACCUGUAUAUGCCCCUCUGCCCCGCCCCUUCCUAACCACCUGUAUACGCCCCCCUCUGCCCCGCCCCUUCCUAACCACCUGUAUACGCCCCUCUGCCCCGCCGCUUCCUAACCACCUGCUCUGUCACCAAGCGUGCUGUAAAGAGUAUGUGAACAGUGUAUUCUCAUAUAGUACAUGGACUUGUAAUUGGGAAUGAUAAUGUAACUAUCCAGACUGCUGUAUUUAUCUUCCAGUCCCUCGGAGCUGUUUAAAAGCUGUAUUUUCAUUAUUAAUUGUGACUUUUAUCACUUGGUUUCCUGGAUGUGGUUGGGGGCUGCUGUUUGACCCAUUUUAACUUUUACAUUUGACAUUUUUCUCGAUUUCCUUUUCCCGAGUGGUGGACAGGAGCAUGUCAGUAUGGUGUUUCGUCCCUGAAGCACAGAGAGGUCUACGAAGCCUCAUUGCCUUACACGGACAGUAUGUCAGGGAACAUCAUUUAUGUGUGUUGAAGAUGUAAAUACUAUUUUGGACAACUUUUUUUCUCUUUUUAAAUGUAACGUUGGCAACGUGGCGGCAGAGAGGACGUGUAGUCGUGUGCUACGCGGCUGAUUGAUGUGUUCUCGUUGGUUUUAACGCAGUCGGUGUGUGAGAGAGGCAAACGCAGCCUGCUGACUCCUCCUGUAAUCGUCUGUUUAAUCGAUCUGCUGCAGCCACCUCUCAGGUUUCAAUGCCCUGCUUUAAGUCAGCGGAGGCGGCCAUGUUUAUUUCCCCACCAUGUUGUACCUCUCUUCAGCGCUGGGUUGUGUUCAUUAGGCACCAAACGGAAGAAAACAAACUGAGGAACUACCUGGACUUGGUCCCAAUAAAGAAACGCUAAUGUUCGGUUCCACGUUGCAAAAUGUUAAACGCUUCCCGUUGCAUGCCCCAAUGAAUGCAACCCAUUAUGGUGGAAGACUACUUAUGUGUGAGAUCAUGCUAGGCUGUGAAUGGGUACCUGCCAUCUAGGCUUGAAUCCCAAAUCGACCCCCCCAAUCCCUAGACAAUCAUCUAGGUCUGAGACCGAUUUGGAGGUAUGAGCACUAUAACAAGGUGAAGUAAUCACCAUAUUGGUUACAGUUUCCACUCCAUACUUUCUAGAAGUGCCCUAGGGAAUAGGGAGGCUCUGGGUUGAUCUGGAACUCAACCCUCUGGACUCUGCUAUGCAGUGGCCCUCAGGUCUUCCAUCAGGACUAUGAGAAUCCUGCCAUGUGACCGCCAGUGGUGGUGGUGGCACUUGCCCUUAGUGUUUUUAGGGUGCGCCCAAAAGGAUGCCCUAUUUCCUGUCUCUUCUUUCUAGGGAACCGGGUGCCAUUUCAGACACAGCCCUGGUCUGUAACUGGUAAGCCUACCCGGUCUUCUCUCAGCCUCUCUGACGUACAUUGUAGUGGGCUUCUUAUCAACGUUGGUGGAUGAGGAGUAUUUAUAAUAUGUGAGUAAAGAAGGGAAAGCAAAUAAAGAGCUGCUGUGAUUGGACCUUUUUUCUUCUUCUUGUCGGCCAUCUUAGAAGUGGACCACUGUCGUCCUCGGAAUAGUUCCCUUCCACUUUUUAGUUCCGUGAAGCAGACUAGAGCAGUGAACAACACAUUACAACCUAGUGUGGUGGGCCUUUUGAUGGGCCCAUUCACAAUGUGUUCAUGGCUAUCCGACUGACUGUGUUAGUUCUUUAUGGGGCACUUUGUAGUUUGUGAAGCUUAAGGAUCUAGAAGUGGAGUGGGACUAUUCCACAUAGUACAGAGGCUCCUCACAACACACUGAUUCCUUAUGUGUUGAGAAGAUGGAGUAAUACAGUGUGGAUGGAACUGUACAGGCUGACUGGAUGGAUGGAACUGUACAGGCUGAUGACUGGGUGGAUGGAACUGUACAGGCUGACUGGAUGGAUGGAACUGUACAGGGUGGAUGGAACUGUACAGGCUGACUGGACUGUACAGGGUGGAUGGAACUGUACAGGCUGAUGACUGGGUGGAUGGAACUGUACAGGGUGGAUGGAACUGUACAGGCUGACUGGAUGGAUGGAACUGUACAGGCUGAUGACUGGGUGGAUGGAACUGUACAGGGUGGAUGGAACUGUACAGGCUGAUGACUGGGUGGAUGGAACUGAUGGUCUACCUCUUUCAUUCACUCUACAUGCCACCAAGUCAUUGGGUGGUUCUGACAAACUUGAACUGUGGGAAGACAAAAUAAAGGCUUUAUUCUUAAAUAAAAUGUCUCCUUGUCAAUUACUGUUAUCGCACCAAACUUCUUGAGUAUCCCGUUUUAUCAUUCGUUGACCAUGAUCGUAGAAUCGUGAUUAAAUCACAGUUUAGCAGAUGCUACAGCCAGUGCAGCAGAAAUGCUUGUUACUAGCUCUGUA
ensembl:lncRNA